UACGUAGGGGCCUAGCGUUGUCCGGAUUUAUUGGGCGUAAAGAGCUCGUAGGCGGCUUGGUAAGUCAGGUGUGAAAUCUCCACGCUCAACGUGGAGGGGCCACCUGAUACUGCCAUGGCUUGAGUCCGGUAGGGGAGUGUGGAAUUCCCGGUGUAGCGGUGAAAUGCGCAGAUAUCGGGAGGAACACCAGUAGCGAAGGCGGCACUCUGGGCCGUGACGUGACGCUGAGGAGCGAAAGCGUGGGUAGCAAACGAGGA
rnacentral:rRNA from 1 species